rnacentral:tRNA from 1 species
GGGUAUAUAGCUCAAGUGGUAGAGUGCAUGGUUAGCAUGCAUGAGGUCCAAGGUUCAAUCCCCAGUACCUCCU